GUGAAUCAUCAAAUUUUUGAACGCAAAUUGCACUCUCUGGUAUUCCGGAAAGUAUGCCUGUUUGAGGGUCAGUUAAAUAAAAAUCGGUGUUGUUGCUGCCUUUUGUGGUGACGCGACGGAAUUGAGUUGUCUUACCUUUGGUUAAGUGACUUAGAAUUUUGCCUGAUUUUCGAACGUCUUAAAAUUUUUUAUGUACGUUCGAGAU
rnacentral:misc_RNA from 1 species